rnacentral:rRNA from 1 species
AUGGGUAUUGAUCAUAUUCUACCCAUUGAGGAACCCCUUGUGGCUGAAGGAGAAGGACAAAGCUCCACUCAAGUGGAGCCUUCACCUACUCAAGACCCACACGCUUCCGAAGAACAAAGUGUAGGCCCUCAACCUCGUGAACAAGACCAAGGGCAAGAUCAAUCUCAAGAUGGUGGUGAACCUCCAAAUGAUGCCCAAGGUCAAGUUCUCCCCCACGAGCAAGCUCAAGGUCAAGAACAAGCUCAAGACGACGCUCAAGAUGAUCAAGUUAACCCUCCUCCUUCCACAUCCGAGGAGGAAUUAGAGCGUCGUGCCGCGAAGAUUGCUUCCAAACUCACCACCAAAGGUCAUCUCAUGGAGAAUGUGGUUGGAAGCCUAAGAAAGGGGGUAAGCACUCGUAGACAAUUAGCAAACUAUUGUGAACAUCACGCGUUUGUCUCUUGUGUUGAACCCCAAAAGGUCUAUGAGGCGCUCGAAGACUCGGAUUGGCUCAAUGUCAUGCAUGAAGAACUCAACAACUUCGAGUACAACAAGGUGUGGAGGUUGGUGCCAAGGCCUUCAGGGAACCAUAACGUCAUUGGUACCAAGUGGAUUUUCAAGAACAAGCAAGAUGCUCAUGGGAACAUCAUUCGCAACAAGGCAAGAUUGGUAGCACAAGGCUACUCCCAAGUCGAGGUUAUCGACUACGGUGAAACCUUUGCUCCCGUUGCUCGCCUUGAAUCCAUUCGUUUGUUGAUUGCUUAUGCUUCCCAUCACAACUUCAAGCUACAACAAAUGGAUGUGAAAAGUGCUUUUCUUAAUGGUCCUAUUAAUGAGUUGGUUUAUGUCAAGCAACCCCCCGGGUUCGAGGAUCCUUACUUCCAGGAUCAUGUGUAUCAACUCGAUAAGGCACUCUAUGGCCUUAAACAAGCCCCACGUGCGUGGUAUGACCACCUUACCGAGUUGUUACAAGAUCGUGGAUUUGAAGUUGGGCAAAUCGAUCCCACUCUUUUUACUAAGAAGGUCAAAGGGGAGUUGUUUGUGUGCCAACUAUAUGUUGAUGACAUUAUCUUUGGUUCCCCUAACAAUGCUUUGAAUGAAGAAUUUGCCGCUCUCAUGACCUCUAAGUUCAAGAUGUCUUCGAUGGGAGAGUUGAAGUUCUUCCUUGGUUUUGAUAUCAAACAAAGAAGAGAAGGUACCUUCAUCCACCAAGCCAAAUACACUCAAGACAUGCUGUCGGUGUCAAAACCGGCGGAUCUCGGGUAG